rnacentral:rRNA from 1 species
UACGGGGGGAGCAAGCGUUGUUCGGAUUUACUGGGCGUAAAGGGCGCGUAGGCGGCCACCGCAAGUCGACUGUGAAAUCUCCGGGCUUAACCCAGAAAGGUCAGCCGAUACUGCGGGGCUAGAGUGCAGAAGGGGCAACUGGAAUUCUCGGUGUAGCGGUGAAAUGCGUAGAUAUCCGGAGGAACACCAGUGGCGAAGGCGGCUUCCUGGACCAAUACUGACGCUGAGGCGCGAAAGCGUGGGGAGCAAACAGG